rnacentral:rRNA from 1 species
CAGCAGCCGCGGGAAUACGAAGGGGGCUAGCGUUGCUCGGAAUGACUGGGCGUAAAGGGCGCGUAGGCGGAUUGUUUAGUUAGGCGUGAAAUUCCUGGGCUUAACCUGGGGACUGCGCUUAAUACAGGCAGUCUAGAGUGAGGAAGAGGGUUGUGGAAUUCCCAGUGUAGAGGUGAAAUUCGUAGAUAUUGGGAAGAACACCGGUGGCGAAGGCGGCAACCUGGUCCUUGACUGACGCUGAGGCGCGAAAGCGUGGGGAGCAAACAGGAUUAGAUACCCCGGUAGUCCCUGUCUCUUAUAA